rnacentral:rRNA from 1 species
AGAGUUUGAUCAUGGCUCAGGAUGAACGCUGGCGGCGUGCUUAACACAUGCAAGUCGAACGAAGCACUUUAUUGGAUUUCCUUCGGGGAAGAAGAUGUUGUGACUGAGUGGCGGACGGGUGAGUAACGCGUGGGUAACCUGCCCCAUACAGGGGGAUAACAGCCGGAAACGGCUGCUAAAACCGCAUAAGCGCACAGUACCGCAUGGUACGGUGUGAAAAACUCCGGUGGUAUGGGAUGGACCCGCGUCUGAUUAGCUGGUUGGCAGGGUAACGGCCUACCAAGGCGACGAUCAGUAGCCGACCUGAGAGGGUGACCGGCCACAUUGGGACUGAGACACGGCCCAAACUCCUACGGGAGGCAGCAGUGGGGAAUAUUGCACAAUGGGGGAAACCCUGAUGCAGCGACGCCGCGUGAGCGAAGAAGUAUUUCGGUAUGUAAAGCUCUAUCAGCAGGGAAGAAGAGUGACGGUACCUGACUAAGAAGCACCGGCUAAAUACGUGCCAGCAGCCGCGGUAAUACGUAUGGUGCAAGCGUUAUCCGGAUUUACUGGGUGUAAAGGGAGCGCAGGCGGAAGGCUAAGUCUGAUGUGAAAGCCCAGGGCUCAACCCUGGUACUGCAUUGGAAACUGGUCAUCUAGAGUGUCGGAGGGGUAAGUGGAAUUCCUAGUGUAGCGGUGAAAUGCGUAGAUAUUAGGAGGAACACCAGUGGCGAAGGCGGCUUACUGGACGAUGACUGACGCUGAGGCUCGAAAGCGUGGGGAGCAAACAGGAUUAGAUACCCUGGUAGUCCACGCCGUAA